GGACAGAAAGAUGGACAUCAGGUUUUGGCGGAUCACAUGAACGCCACAGUCCUUAUAUUUAUUUAUCAUCUGGACUCUUUAUUUAAAGUUUCUUCACUCAUUUUUGUGUGUGUGUGUGUGUG